AGCGAGCCGAACCAAUUGAUUACCUUCGGGUAUGAAGUUAGGGAAGCGAGCGGCGGAUGGGUGAGUAACACGUGGGUAACCUACCCUAUAGUCUUAGUCUGGGAUACCACUUGGAAACAGGUGCUAAUACCGGAUAAAAGGAGAGAUCACAUGAUUUCUUUUUGAAAGGCGGCGUAAGCUGUCGCUAAAGGAUGGACCCGCGGUGCAUUAGCUAGUUGGUAAGGUAACGGCUUACCAAGGCAACGAUGCAUAGCCGAGUUGAGAGACUGAUCGGCCACAUUGGGACUGAGACACGGCCCAAACUCCUACGGGAGGCAGCAGUAGGGAAUCUUCCACAAUGGACGCAAGUCUGAUGGAGCAACGCCGCGUGAGUGAAGAAGGUUUUCGGAUCGUAAAGCUCUGUUGUUGGUGAAGAAAGAUAGUGAGAGUAACUGCUCAUUAUUUGCCGGUAAUCAACCAGAAAGUCACGGCUAACUACGUGCCAGCAGCCGCGGUAAUACGUAGGUGGCAAGCGUUGUCCGGAUUUAUUGGGCGUAAAGCGAGCGCAGGCGGAAAGAUAAGUCAGAUGUGAAAGCCCUCGGCUUAACCGAGGAAUAGCAUCGGAAACUGUCUUUCUUGAGUGCAGAAGAGGAGAGUGGAACUCCAUGUGUAGCGGUGGAAUGCGUAGAUAUAUGGAAGACAUCAGUGGCGAAGGCGGCUCUCUGGUCUGUAACUGACGCUGAGCUCGAAAGCAUGGGUUAGCGAACAGGAUUAGAUACCC
rnacentral:rRNA from 1 species